UACGGGGGGGGCAAGCGUUGUUCGGAAUUACUGGGCGUAAAGGGCGCGUAGGCGGCUCGGCACGUCCGUUGUGAAAUCGCCCGGCUCAACUGGGCGGGGUCGGCGGAUACGGCCGAGCUGGAGCAAGCUAGGGGGUAAUGGAAUUCCCGGUGUAGUGGUGGAAUGCGUAGAUGUCGGGAGGAACACCAGUGGCGAAGGCGGUUACCUGGAGCUUUGCUGACGCUGAUGCGCGAAAGCGUGGGGAGCGAUCCGG
rnacentral:rRNA from 1 species